UUGAACGCUGGCGGCAGGCCUAACACCUGCCAGUCGAACGGUAACAGGAAGCAGCUUGCUGCUUUGCUGACGAGUGGCGGACGGGUGAGUAAUGUCUGGGAAACUGCCCGAUGGAGGGGGAUAACUACUGGAAACGGUAACUAAUACCGCAUAACGUCGCAAGACCAAAGAGGGGGACCUUAGGGCCUCUUGCCAUCGGAUGUGCCCAGAUGGGAUUAGCUAGUAGGUGGGGUAACGGCUCACCUAGGCGACGAUCCCUAGCUGGUCUGAGAGGAUGACCAGCCACACUGGAACUGAGACACGGUCCAGACUCCUACGGGAGGCAGCAGUGGGGAAUAUUGCACAAUGGGCGCAAGCCUGAUGCAGCCAUGCCGCGUGUAUGAAGAAGGCCUUCGGGUUGUAAAGUACUUUCAGCGGGGAGGAAGGGAGUAAAGUUAAUACCUUUGCUCAUUGACGUUACCCGCAGAAGAAGCACCGGCUAACUCCGUG
rnacentral:rRNA from 1 species